rnacentral:rRNA from 1 species
UACGUAGGGGGCGAGCGUUGUCCGGAUUUACUGGGCGUAAAGGGCGUGCAGGCGGUCUCGUUAAGUCUAGGGUGAAAGCUCCCGGCUCAACUGGGAGAGGUCCUUGGAUACUGGCGGACUUGAGGGAGGCAGAGGAGUAUGGAAUUCCCGGUGUAGUGGUGAUAUGCGUAGAUAUCGGGAGGAACACCAGUGGCGAAGGCGGUACUCUGGGCCUUACCUGACGCUGAGACGCGAAAGCGUGGGGAGCGAACCGG